rnacentral:ncRNA from 1 species
ACGAACCCCGUGGGAGAGACCGCCCCCGCCCGCAAGGGCCGAAGGCGGCGCCGAAGGAGCAACCGCCCCUGGAAACUCUCAGGCAAACGGACCGCGGGGGGAUG